rnacentral:rRNA from 1 species
UGGGGAAUAUAGGACAAUGGGCGCAAGCCUGAUCCAGCCAUGCCGCGUGAGUGAUGAAGGCCCCAGGGUUGUAAAGCUCUUUCAUCGGUGAAGAUAAUGACGGCAGUGGGAGAAGAAGCUCCGGCUAACUUCGUGCCAGCAGCCGCGGUAAUACGAAGGGGGCUAGCGUUGUUCGGAAUUACUGGGCGUAAAGCGCACGCAGGCGGUUCGGUCAGUCAGAAGUGAAAGCCCCGGGCUUAACCUGGGAACUGCUUUUGAUACUGCCGAGCUUGAGUCACGGAGAGGGUAGUGGAAUUCCGAGUGUAGAGGUGAAGUUCGUAGAUAUUCGGAAGAACACCAGUGACGAAGACGACUACCUGGCAGUCGAUUGACGCUCAUGUGCGAAAACGUGGGGAGCAAACA